AUGAACGCUAGCUACAGGCUUAACACAUGCAAGUCGAGGGGCAGCAUUUUAGUUUGCUUGCAAACUGAAGAUGGCGACCGGCGCACGGGUGAGUAACACGUAUCCAACCUGCCGAUAACUCCGGAAUAGCCUUUCGAAAGAAAGAUUAAUACCGGAUGGCAUACGAAUAUCGCAUGAUAUUUUUAUUAAAGAAUUUCGGUUAUCGAUGGGGAUGCGUUCCAUUAGUUUGUUGGCGGGGUAACGGCCCACCAAGACUACGAUGGAUAGGGGUUCUGAGAGGAAGGUCCCCCACAUUGGAACUGAGACACGGUCCAAACUCCUACGGGAGGCAGCAGUGAGGAAUAUUGGUCAAUGGGCGCGAGCCUGAACCAGCCAAGUAGCGUGAAGGAUGAAGGCUCUAUGGGUCGUAAACUUCUUUUAUAUGGGAAUAAAGUAUUCCACGUGUGGAAUUUUGUAUGUACCAUAUGAAUAAGGAUCGGCUAACUCCGUGCCAGCAGCCGCGGUAAUACGGAGGAUCCGAGCGUUAUCCGGAUUUAUUGGGUUUAAAGGGAGCGUAGGUGGAUUGUUAAGUCAGUUGUGAAAGUUUGCGGCUCAACCGUAAAAUUGCAGUUGAAACUGGCAGUCUUGAGUACAGUAGAGGUGGGCGGAAUUCGUGGUGUAGCGGUGAAAUGCUUAGAUAUCACGAAGAACUCCGAUUGCGAAGGCAGCUCACUAGACUGUUACUGACACUGAUGCUCGAAAGUGUGGGUAUCAAACAGGAUUAGAUACCCUGGUAGUCCACACAGUAAACGAUGAAUACUCGCUGUUUGCGAUAUACAGUAAGCGGCCAAGCGAAAGCAUUAAGUAUUCCACCUGGGGAGUACGCCGGCAACGGUGAAACUCAAAGGAAUUGACGGGGGCCCGCACAAGCAGUGGAGUAUGUGGUUUAAUUCGAAGCAACGCGAAGAACCUUACCAGGUCUUGACAUCCGAUGCAUAGUGCAGAGAUGCAUGAAGUCCUUCGGGACAUCGAGACAGGUGGUGCAUGGUUGUCGUCAGCUCGUGUCGUGAGAUGUUGGGUUAAGUCCCGCAACGAGCGCAACCCUUAUCUUUAGUUACUAACAGGUCAUGCUGAGGACUCUAGAGAGACUGCCGUCGUAAGAUGUGAGGAAGGUGGGGAUGACGUCAAAUCAGCACGGCCCUUACGUCCGGGGCUACACACGUGUUACAAUGGGGGGUACAGAAGGCGGCUACCUGGUGACAGGAUGCUAAUCCCAAAAACCUCUCUCAGUUCGGAUCGAAGUCUGCAACCCGACUUCGUGAAGCUGGAUUCGCUAGUAAUCGCGCAUCAGCCAUGGCGCGGUGAAUACGUUCCCGGGCCUUGUACACACCGCCCGUCACACCAUGAGAGUUGGCAACACCCGAAGCCGGCGGCCCAACCCGCAAGGGAGGGAGCUGUCUAAGGUGGGGCUGAUGAUUGGGGUG
rnacentral:rRNA from 1 species